AUGCCGCUAAGCAUUCUGGGAAAUAGUUCCCACUCCUGUCUUUUGAUGAAGUUUAGACUAAAUAAUUGUGAGAACAAGACCACUGAAGGAGCUUUCUGUCAUUUUUUUCCUUCUGCUUCUGCAGGAUUCUCAUGGUAAAGAGAAAAACUGGCUGCAUUUUUCUGCUGCAGAGCCAGGAAGCGUUCCUGCAGAGAGGAGAGCAGAGGGCAAAAGAGAUAAUCCUCCAUGUAGAUUAUCUCAUCCAGAAUCUGCCUCCUCCGUUUACUGCUGUCCUCACCACAAACCCAACAGACAGAAAAGUGCUGAGUCUGCAGCAUCCAUGGACGAGGCGGUGGAGAGCAGGGAGCUCCGUGAUUGGCUGGAGCGGACCCCACCCUCAGAAACAGCCUGACUGAGACCGCAGAGCCUCUGCAAACUGGGCAUGACUCUUCGUUUUGGUGCAGGGCGGGCUGUGCCUGCUCAGGCUGCAGGUUCUCACACUUUCUGAAGCAAGAGGCCGGCUCGGUUCACGCCAACACGCACGCAGCUUUCUGUUUUACUAAAAUAUCCACUUAAUCUGAGGAAGAUUCUGGAUUUCAGGAAUCACAUCGACCUCCAAACGUCGCCUGGUCGCAGCAUUAUGCAAUCAAGUGACUCAUUUGUUUGGGACAGAAUGCUGAGCUAAAUGUUUUCUGGGGUAUUUUUAGGAUAUGUCACAGUGUUGCCAUGGCAACAAAUGAUGUGCAUGCACUGCAAAAAAAAAAAAUCUUAGCAUGU